UGGGGAAUAUUGGACAAUGGGGGGAACCCUGAUCCAGCCAUGCCGCGUGUGUGAAGAAGGCCUUAUGGUUGUAAAGCACUUUAAGCGAGGAGGAGGGUACUGGUAUUAAUACUACCAGGUACUGGACGUUACUCGCAGAAUAAGCACCGGCUAACUCUGUGCCAGCAGCCGCGGUAAUACAGAGGGUGCGAGCGUUAAUCGGAUUUACUGGGCGUAAAGCGCGCGUAGGUGGUUCGUUAAGUUGAAUGUGAAAGCCCCGGGCUCAACCUGGGAACUGCAUCCGAAACUGGCGAGCUAGAGUAGGGCAGAGGGUGGUGGAAUUUCCUGUGUAGCGGUGAAAUGCGUAGAUAUAGGAAGGAACACCAGUGGCGAAGGCGACCACCUGGGCUCAUACUGACACUGAGGUGCGAAAGCGUGUGGAGCAAACAGG
rnacentral:rRNA from 1 species